UUCGGCACUCACCGUCAUCACCUCAAGAUGUCGAAGUUGAUCGUAAUCCUCGUUAUCGCGAGUGUAUGCAUACACUUGUAUGCAAUAGCCGCUCCUGCGCCAGGUGAUCGCAAAAACGGCGAUGGAAGAUCGGAAGACGCGU